UGUGUUUUCAGGCUCUAGAUGUUACCAUAUGCCAUAUAUUGCUUUCUCGGGGAGAAAUCGAGGGUUUCAAAGCACACUUAACCCAUCCUAACUGCUCACGUCAACUAGUCAAGGUCUGCAUUUUCUGAUAAAAAUAACCCAUAAAACUUCCAUAUUAAGAGCUAGAAUGGUUUGGAAGACAAAGAAAUGCUGAAAAAUAAAAGCAAAAUCUUGGAGGAGACUCACAGUGUGAGAAACAUUAAAGUAAGUCCUUUGGGCAGAUAGAAGUGGUACCAAAUGGGAAUAAGGAUCUACACACACACACAAAUUCAGAGUUCCAGAAAUGAUAACCACAUGGAUAUAUAUAUGUAAGUUUUUGUUGUUGUUGUUAUUUAAGUAUCUUUAAAGUAUAACUAACUCUUUAUAUGAGAAUUGAUACUAUGUGAUAUAAGGUUAAUAACGUGAUGUAAAGUUUAUAGCAUAUAUAGAAAUAAAAUGUAUGGUAACAAUAACA
rnacentral:lncRNA from 1 species